ACGGGGGGGGCUAGCGUUGUUCGGAAUUACUGGGCGUAAAGGGCGCGUAGGCGGUCUGCUAAGUUGGAUGUGAAAACUCUGGGCUUAACCCAGAGCCUGCAUUCAAUACUGACAGGCUAGAGUUCUGGAGGGGAUAGCGGAAUUCCUGGUGUAGCGGUGAAAUGCGUAGAUAUCAGGAGGAACACCGGUGGCGAAGGCGGCUAUCUGGACAGAAACUGACGCUGAGGCGCGAAAGCUAGGGGAGCAAACAGGA
rnacentral:rRNA from 1 species